AACCCGGGCCUUCCACCGGCCAGAGCUUCAGUCCCGUUAUUUUAUUUUGAGACACAGUUCUCAAUAACUCGCCCAGGCUGACCCCAAAUAUAGGAUCCUCCUGUCUCGGUCUCCCCCGUAGCCAAAAUUACAGACUCACAGGAGCACACCCAGGUUCAUCGGGGUUCUUAAGACAGAAACUAAGAAUCUUUCAGCCGGGGAAUAAAAUCCUUUCACUUUUAACACUUUUUGAUUGUUUUAGAGGCAGUGAAAAUCUUUGGAGACGUAGAUUUUUUUCAACAGUAUCCAGGACUUACUUUUAAAUAAAUGUCACAUUUUCAGCCUACCGACCUGGCUAGUGUGCGUGUGCGCAUGCGUGUGCCACAAAGCCACAGAGCUGCUCGCGGGACCCGGGGCAGCCUUCCUGGUGGGAGUGCAGUGCGGGCACAGGUGGGCGCCACGCACCUCCCGCAUCCGUGAUCGCGAUCACCAGCUUCCUGACUCCGCCUCUCCCGACCCCAGCCGGGAGGGGCCGGCACGGGCACGGGGCAGUGGGCGGAGCUGCGAGGCCCGUGCCUCAGUUUCCCCCUGCGCGGAGGAGAGUCCUGCAGCACCUCCCCCGCGGGGCGGCCCCGAAACGCGCGCCUCGCCCGGCUGCGCGCCCCCUCCCUGCGGCGCGGGGCGGACGGGCAGGAGCCCGGCUGUCUUUGCGGUGUCUUGAAAACCAGACUCGGCCCAGGAACCAUUUCUGCUCAGUUUUUCAAAAAAGUGCCAGGAAGGCAGAAAAAAACGCUGAGUCUCCUGCCCCGCGCCGGAGGGCGGCCGGGACUAUGGGGCGCCGGCCGUGGCCCCCCAGAUUUCCUGAGGAGCCCCCCCCCCACACCCGGGAUCCCCAACUUUAACCAAGGUUUCCGGUGGAUUCCAGGUCAGUGAGUCCUAAACGUCGCCUGGGUUUAUACCCUCGUCCGCGUGGGUUAAAGUCCGCCGGGCCGCGGCUGUCCAGUACGAGUGUGGUUUAAAGUCGUGGCCGGCGGACCGUCCCGAAGCACUCAGACGGGCCGGUCGCCACAUUUCAGUCGCGUUGACAGCCUCGCUGUAACAGUAAACCCAGCGCUGCACUGCAGAAUAAAUACCAGGUUGAACUUGUAAGAUAAAGCAAGUUUAUCAGGCAGCCCUGGGUACUCCUAGCUCGGUGAUAACCGCCCACCGGGUGAAUUACACCGCGUGAAUUACAGAAAAACAUGAAGACGGAUUUUGAAAAAUGUUUUUCCCCAAAUGACAAAGAAUCCCCAGCUCUUCUUACAUCAUUGUUAAAAAUGUGAAAAAUAUUCACAAAGGAAAUUAAAAAUCGCUGGUGAUCAUUAGGGACAUUUUAGUGAACCAGAAAGUUUCUAUCUGAACUUUGCUGAGAGACAUUUUGGUGAUAGCAGAAAUAUUUCAAGGAGCCAGAGAGGGAGCUGUUUCACGCCAGCCCUGUACUUCCUCUCCGGGCAGGCCAGGAAACGCGAGCUUGGGGAAUCUAGGAGCUGAAAAGCACUGGUUUUUUUUUUUUUUUUUUUUGGAAAAGCUGAAUCCUGGAAACAGCCCGAUGCCCAGCAGCUGCCCAAUGGCUGAAGGAGAUGUGGGUUUUUACCCCGUGGGGCACUGUUCUGACAUAAAGAUCUGCUUGAGGCAUUUCUAGCUAAAUGGGUGCUCCUCAAAAGACCACACUCUCAAGUGAAAUAAAUCUGACACACGUGUGUAAAUACCACACUUUCUCUGGUGUGAGAAACCAAAAGUGUAAAUAAGGACCAAAAUGCAUACCAGAUAUUGUGAAAUAGGAAGAAAAUAUUCAGGUGGGAAGGGGAACUAGGGAGGGGGAGGGGAAAAGGAAAGGGAGAAAGGAGAAAGAAAAGGCAAAAUGGAGACAAAGCUUUUGUAAAUAAGGAGGAGGAGAGGUUAUGGGGGAGGAGGAUGGGGAAAAACACAUCCUUACGUCAUGUACAGACACACAUUCCCUAUCAGGCCUGUGAUCAUUUCGUGUACCUAAAACAUACCAAUACACUUAAUGAAUAAUCAAAACCAAAAGCACAGGCUUGAUGCAAAAGACUUCAAGGCUUGGCACCACAGCACAGGUCUGUAAUCCCAGCUACCACGGCUCUCAGGAUUGGCAGUCUGAGGCCCUGUCUCAAAAAUAAAAAAGAAAUAAAAAUGAAGAACUAGCUCAGAGCUAGGCUGCCCCUGGGUUCGGGCAGUCACAGAGGGCUUCACAAGGUCUGCAACAGGGACUGGAAGGGAGGGGCGGGGGCUCUGUCAUGGAUUAACCUGGUGACUUUGGAAAGGUCACACUCUCUUCUGACCGCCCCCCACCACCACGCUGAGUCACUUUAGAGUAAGGUAUCUGUAAAAUCCUUGUGAGCUGUGGUGCAGAUGUCCCUGUAGCAUGGAGAGGGGCACAUUCCCAGGUUUCCAGGAUUGCCCACCUCAGGGUAGCGCGUCCUGUCUGCAUCCUUUAUCUAGACAGACUUACAGUUGUUUGUAAAGGUGAAAUAAACAGCUUUCCAGAAACUCGGGUGGACUACCGUGAGUGAAUCCACUGGAAACGCUGUUUUGAAAAUAAGGACCUACGGGCCGGGGAUUUAGCUCAGCGGCAUGAGCGCCUGCCUGGCAGGCACAAGGUUGUGAGUUUGAUCCCCGGUACCAAAAAGAAAAAAAGAAAGAACGGACCUAGGGCCACUUCCGCUCUGGGGGGGGCGAAGCCAUUCUGGAUCAAACCGCCUCGCCCCCAUCUCCUGAUGGCACAGACCCCGGUCCACGGCCCACUCCGUGAUCAACGAGAAAGGGACGGAGGGGCACUGGCUGCUUCCCAGCCGGAUGCACGCUCCCCCGGGCCCCAUCUCUGGCCAAAUUUUGGGAGGCUCGGCUGUGAAUAGGCAGCGGCUCCCCCUCGGGGCCACACCCUGCUGCAAUUCCCCAGGAAACCUGGAGGGGGGCCAGGGCUGCGGCCCAAAACUGCCAGGGCCAGAGCGAGAUCAUCCCUGGAGCCCAGAGGUGGCGACGGAUCCCUGGGCGCUCAGAGCCCCCACCCGGGCGGCCCAGGGGCGCCCCAGGACCCCCGGCCUGUGCCAGCACGGCGGUGCUGAGCUCCCCGGGUGCAGGCUCCCCGGAUUCAGGCCCCAGAACCGGUUGGGUUUUCCGAGGCUGCCUUUGGCACAGGAUCUUGCUUUGUAGCCCAGACUGGUCUCCAGCAUGCAGUGAUCCUCCUGCCUCAGCCUCCGGAGUGCUAGAUUACAAGCAUGCGCCACCAUAGCUGACUGGGGCUGGGGACUGAACAUGAAUUCUCUCACGUUCUACCAAAACAAGUGCUCUACCACCUUCCGGGUCCCUGGCUCCUAUUGGUGUCAUUUUUAAUACCUGAAAAAAAUAAUUAAAAUCUAUAAACAAAAUAGAAA